AUAAAAUUAAAGAUAUAUAAUUAGGUCUGAAAAGAUAAUACUUUAUUUAUAGUUUAAUGUUAUUUGCUUGUAGAUAUUUAAUUAGGAUAGAAGUUAGAAUAGGAUCCAUGUAACAAAGUAGCGAGCUGAAGCAUAUAGGUCGUGGAACAUUAUCGGGCAAAACAUCGUACACUUCAAGAAUAGCAACUGCUUCACCUGUGAAAAUCGACGCUUGAGGAGGGCACCUAAAUGAGAGGACAAUAUUGUACCGAGGAAUCCACACUGCUGCUCCCACACAUCUUGCAGGAUCUACUUUUGAAGCGUCAGUAUAAACCGUGAGUUCCAGUGCAAGUGACCGCAAACGUGGAAGCAGCAAAUGGUUGUAGUAAGAACUGGCUUUGAUUAAAAAUCUAUCAGCAAGAUAUUGUCUGCGGAGAGACAAAGGAGGCUCAACACCUUCCACCUGCAUGGCGUUCUUGGGAGAAGAACGCAUAGCUCCGAGUAUGAUCUUCAAACA